rnacentral:other from 1 species
CGUUCCCUGCAGUGUUCGAGAUAAGGCGAAUUGCCCUUGGACCUAAUAACCUACCCGGGAAGACAGAUCAUUUUGUUGGUGUGCACGCUCUUUUUUAGAGAAGCCUAAUGCAAAUGUCCGAGUCCCACUUAAACUCUCCGGUUUAAGGUAGAAACCUGAAUACGGCGCUAGCGGGGAACGU